rnacentral:rRNA from 1 species
UACGUAGGGCGCAAGCGUUGUCCGGAAUUAUUGGGCGUAAAGAGCUCGUAGGCGGCUUGUCGCGUCGACUGUGAAAUCCCGCGGCUCAACUGCGGGUCUGCAGUCGAUACGGGCAGGCUAGAGUUCGGUAGGGGAGACUGGAAUUCCUGGUGUAGCGGUGAAAUGCGCAGAUAUCAGGAGGAACACCGGUGGCGAAGGCGGAUCUCUGGGCCAUUACUGACGCUGAGGAGCGAAAGCGUGGGGAGCGAACAGG